AGCAUGAGCACUUGGGCAGAGCAGCUGAUACCUGCUUGGCUACAGGAUGCUGUGGCUGUACAAAUAUGUGUGAAUGUGCCACGUCGAAAUUCUGAUUUUGAUUAAAAAAGAAAAUGGAAGAAGCUCAACAUUACCAUCUAAUGAAAAGUGCUGUCGAACAUGUUCGUGGUUUUGUUGCAGCAAGCAGGUGAAAGGUGUAGUUAAAUACAGUUUAGCUGUUGCAUGGAGUCUGUGGUGCCUAUGCUAUCCUGGAGUGUUUAGUUGUUCUGACUGGUUCUGACGUAUGGCUUUCUGACUUUCUCUCAGCUGCUAAGUUCUCAGUUGAAGAAUUCUGUUGAACUGCACAUGAUCUGAAAUGAUGAGCACUUGACACUUGUAUUUCAUCAGAACUUCUUCUUUGGAUUAGCUGAGGAUACUUCACUAAAAGGAAUCAUCUUGCAAGGAAACUUGGUGCAGAAGUAGCUGAUUGACCGUUAGUUUAUUCUGGUUCUGAGAAACACAUGACAAAAAUUUGGAGAAGAAAAACAAUCUCUCGGAUUCAUCACAGAUUUUGCAGAAUCCUAACAGAAUAAGAAGGGAGUGUCCUACAGCUGAAAUUGUGCCCCAUUUUACCAAGUAUUGCUGGCUCCGGUCAACAUUUGGUCUAGUUGCGUAAGCAUUUUUGCCAGUGAACAGUCGGAAUAUCGAAAAUCUUUAACAGUAAUUGUAACGUGCCUUACCUGAGAUCGCGAGUCAUCCCAUCCAGUUCAUCCCAAGACCGCUAUUUCAUAUGACUUGACAUGCAGGAUACGGCGAAAAAAACCAUCGAGCGAAUGAUGUUGGACAGCAGCAACGCGAAGCGGCUUACCUCUGAAAUAUAUGUCGAACGAUAAUGAAGUGGAAGUGAAUGCUGCAGUCCUUUCCGUUUUCUCCUCUACAAAUCAGUCGCUCUGCUUAAAGCCAAGUUCCAAAUUAAAUUACAGGUUUCUAAAUUGGCAUGAUAGACUUAAUGAUAAGUACCUUUCCUUUCAAGAAAGAUAACAAGACAACAUUUAAGAAAGACAACAAGGUCCCUUGUUUAGCAACUAAUGGCUGCUACUCUUGAAUCUCCCUUUUUACUUCCUUAAACGGGCCCUCUUGAUAUGAGGGUAAUCCUUCGCUACUUAUCGUGGACUUCAACCAUUGCUGGAAACCAACCUUGAGAGCAUGCUGUCAUUCAAGAAUGAUAAAUUGUAUUGUUAGUUAAAUUACUAGUGCAUAUCUGGGCUCCCUUCUUUUCUGUGGCCCCGUUUCCCUAACUAAACACUAACCAACGCCCGCCGGUGGUCACUCGCCCGCUGUGAAACCAGGAGGAGGGGAGGGCUCUGGUCGAACGGGGACUUGGAAGGCGCAUGAUCCGAUGAAAACUUUUGGAGGGUCAUGAGUCUAACCCGGAAGCCUAGUAUGACUACAUCUCCCCGGAAAAACUUGCCUCGUACUUCUCUCUUCUUCUCGGUCCAGAUACUAUCUCUGGGGGCCGUAGACAAAACCUAUAACAGCAUGUGCGAGUUUAUAAGAUGCAGCCCACUACCCAAUGAAAGAAAAAGCCGUGGAUUUGUUUUGCGGACAUCUGCGUCAGUCACGCAGAUUUCCGUACAAAUAGUCCAUCGUUUUUUGUCUCAUUGCCGCAGCGGUGGUGGCGGGUUUGCAAUAAACUCGUACAGUAGAAAAACGUCUUGAACCGGACGCUCUGUUUAUUGAAUUAUUGAAAUAAAAAUAAAAAAAAGUUG